rnacentral:rRNA from 1 species
AACGAACGCUGGCGGCAUGCCUAACACAUGCAAGUCGAACGAGACCUUCGGGUCUAGUGGCGCACGGGUGCGUAACGCGUGGGAACCUGCCCUUAGGUUCGGAAUAACUCCCCGAAAGGGGUGCUAAUACCGGAUAAUGUCUUCGGACCAAAGAUUUAUCGCCUUUGGAUGGGCCCGCGUUGGAUUAGCUAGUUGGUAGGGUAAAAGCCUACCAAGGCGACGAUCCAUAGCUGGUCUGAGAGGAUGAUCAGCCACACUGGGACUGAGACGCGGUCCAGACUCCGACGAGAGGCAGCAGUGGGGAAUAUUGGACAAGGGGCGCAAGCGUGAGCGAGCCAUAGGGCGUUGGUGAAGAAGGCCUUCGGGGUGGAAAGCCCUUUUGUUGGGAAAGAAAAGCAGCAGGUGAAUACCCCGCUGGUCUGACGGUACCCAAAGAAUAAGCACCGGCUAACUUCGUG